rnacentral:tRNA from 1 species
GGCAGCAUGGUGUAGUGGAGGGAGCACUGGACUGACAGUCCAGAGCCUGGGUUCUAAUCCUAGCUCUGUCA